UUAGAUUAGCUGUGAGCAGUCUUCAGUGAGAGGGCUGGAAAGGAAGUUAACACUUAUACUACUCCGUAUAUAGUCAAAACAAAGAUGGGAAUGACUUCGAAGUUGAUCCUAAGCUCUAGUCUUAGUUAGGGACAUAUAAAAAGGUGGACUUACUACAGAAUUUGACUUAGCUCAAUGUAUCUACGAUAUUUUAUGUUAGCUGUCCAUGUCUACUUCUAUUCAGUCGUCAAUUUCAUCCAUCCUCCUCAUUUAAUCCUGGUUUGGGGACAUCAGGAAUCCAUAUUUUGUCUAUUAAAGUGAUAAGCAUUCGUUUUCUUGGUUAAGCUCUCAUUUAACAACUCUAAUAAUGUUCCUUUCAAAGAAUCGGAGUCCCGAGUACCUCAUCUCCAAGUCUUUCCCAACAUUCUACAUUCUUGUUUCUACAAUUUUACAAGGUUUUCAUUCUAUUAAAGACAUUCAAACCCAUCUGAAGAUCUUCCACGUUGUAGUAAAAUAUAUGAAGCUAAGUCUCAGGUUCUCAAAAGGAUCCCUUUUCCAUAACAGACUGUAGCGAGGAACGAAGAAUACUGUCUGAUUUGACUCAAAUCCCUUAGGAAAAGGAAAUAAAAGGCUUAUUCUGUGUUAACUAUUUAGUCUUGUCGUCGUCAAUUCUGUCAUUCAAUCAAAGACCAAAUAUAGAUGUCUAUCAAUUGUCAUACGCCUUAUUCAUAAAUUAGAAGAUACUAGAUAGAUAAUCCUUGGCGAAUGUUUGGAAUUAAUCUAACAAAAGAUCGUGUAACUUCGUCACUCCCAGCAUUCAAGAACAAGUCAAAAUGUGAUAAAGUGGAUCAUACCUAAAUAUAGUGAUCAUGAAUAAUUAAUUGUAAACAUUCUUUCAUUUUCAUUCCACUCAACAUAUAGUGAGCUUUUGAAGCUACUAUAACCAGGACUUGAGAUAUGUGCUUAUAAAAGAGGAUAUUCCCGUAUUUGAAUUUAAAACUCCAGACAAUUUUCUUAAGUAUUAAAACUUGCCAUACAAAAACAGCUAUCAAGUAUAAUAUUUUUAUAUAGAUAAGGAAUAUAAUUUUCCCAGAGCAUACACGUUUCUAAAAACUUCAUAGACUUCUCCUCUGUUUUAGUUCUCAUAUAUUCAACCGUUCAGUUAUAAAAAUUAUUUUUAUUGGAAUUAUCAAUGGUAUUUUGAAUUGUUAUAAACUGUUCAAGCUUUGAUUCUAGUAUCUAAAGAAUCUAUUUGUUCAAAUUAAUAGUAUUUAUGUCUAAAAUGUUUUCUAUAUGCUCGUAAAUUUUUACUCCGUUCUUAAUCUUUCCUAUAAGUAUAAUUAUAUAGCCUUGAUUCAACUA
rnacentral:lncRNA from 1 species